ensembl:lncRNA novel transcript
CUUCCUAGCGGCCAGCGGCUGCCUCUGCAGACCCCAGAGUCAGUCCAGGUUCACCUCCACAAUUCCUUCUUCAGACUGUACUUGACUUAAAAGAGAAACAUCCUUGUUCUCUCUACUUGGGUGUCAUUUCUUGGAAGACUCUCAUGGAUACUGCUCUUCUGAAGAAAGUGACCUUUGAUACCAAACAGGAAAAUAAAAGGAUCCCGAUUUCUCUUUGCUUCCCCUGUAAGCCUCCUAGAAGCAGGAGGCUUGGUGAAACAGCCUACCAAUGUUUUUACUCCCACAAAGUUUUAAAAUGACCAGACAUCCUUAUUUGGGAAGCAGGUGAUCUCAGUGAUAAAGGAGCGUGUGUCCCUUUAUUGUUUUAACUGCCUAACAGUCGGUCCCCACUCAGCCUCCUGUCCCUGUGCAGAGGUGGGGAAAUGUCUCACUCUGUGGAUCUUAGGUGUGCCCGUGGCACUGAGGGCUGCUGCAGGCUGGGGACUCUGCAGACCUCAUGCCUUCUGCCUAUCAGCACCCCCGUCCUGCUAGCACUCUACUCUACAGAGGACAGCUUGUCCUAUCUGCCCGGGUACCAGCUCCGACAUGGGGGACAGACCUCUCCAGGCCCCUGUUGGCCUGCUGCCCACCCCUGUCCCAGGCCUCCGUGCACCUGACUGAGGAAGUUUCUCUUGUUCUCUCCAGCCAAGAACCUACACGGAGGAGGAACUGAAUGCCAAGCUGACCCGGCGUGUGCAAAAGGCAGCUCGGAGACAGGCCAAGCAGGAGGAGCUUAAGCGGCUGCAUCGAGCCCAGAUCAUCCAGCGGCAGCUGCAGCAGGUGGAGGAGAGGCAGCGGCGGCUGGAGGAAAGGGGCGUGGCUGUGGAGAAGGCGCUCCGGGGCGAAGCAGGCAUGGGCAAGAAGGACGACCCCAAGCUGAUGCAGGAGUGGUUCAAGCUAGUGCAGGAGAAGAACGCCAUGGUGCGCUACGAGUCGGAGCUGAUGAUCUUUGCCCGGGAGCUGGAGCUGGAAGACCGGCAGAGUCGACUGCAGCAGGAGCUCCGGGAACGCAUGGCAGUGGAAGAUCACCUUAAGACUGAGGAGGAGCUGUCAGAAGAGAAGCAGAUUCUCAAUGAGAUGCUGGAGGUGGUGGAGCAGAGAGACUCACUGGUGGCGCUGCUGGAGGAGCAGCGGCUCCGGGAGAGAGAGGAGGACAAGGACCUGGAGGCUGCCAUGCUGUCCAAGGGCUUCAGCCUUAACUGGUCCUGAGCUCCCACCCAACGCUCCAUUUUCUGUUGGCAUCCGCCUGGCCAGGCAGUGGCAUCCAAACCACCCGGAGCCGCGAUCUGAGGAGGCCUGGCACCUCCUUGGAGUUUACGCUCAGAUGCCCGUGUGCUGCUUGGAAAGUGGUCGAGUCCCGCGUGCAGUGGGGAGCCCCAGGUGACAGUGGUUAUCUGAGACGGCUCCACCUCCUGGGAGGAGGCCCACCUGGACCUCCCACUCAGAGGAGCAGCACGGCGUGUAUGGCAUGACGCAGGGGACCACCCCGCGCGCUCCCUGAGGAUGUGCUGGCUGUGCCCCUUUUUUCCACUGGCACAUUUGGUAAGAGAGGGAAGCUGCUCCCCGUCAGAACCACAGUGCGCCGUGCGAGGGGCACUGUCUUCUUCAUGCUCCCUGGAGCACCACCAAAGAAACGUAAACAAUACCCCACGAAAGCAGGGUCAGGGGUCAGGGUGCGAUCGAGACCCAGGAUGGGGGCGUCCAGUCAUGCCCACCCCAGCAUCACAGGAGACAUGGAGGUGCGGGCAGGCUCCUGAAUUAUUAUGCAAAUUAGGAGGACGCAGGAGGGGUCUGCCCUCCAGCCGAACACCACACACUGGACCCUAAGUGGCCAAAUGCCUGGGCCGCUUGCUGGCUGUGGCCUGAGGCUUGUGGGUUGCUGCAUUUUGCUUGUAGUUCACAACCAUUUUGACACUGGAAAAUGCUGACUUUGGGGGACAGGAUGAGGCCCUACAUUCUAAGCCCCCAGUUGGCAGACAGGCAUUGUCCCUGUUCCACAUUUAUGUCGGGACAGGAGAUGACCUUUUCCUCCGUGUUUUUCCUGUGUUUGCACGUUGAAAUGAAGCUGACAACCUGGCAAGACGCUCAGCCGCUUCAAACCCUUUUUGUCAAUUAACUUAUUUUUUAAUACUUGAAAAGAAGUAACUUCGUUUGUGUAUCUUUACUAGAGGAACUGAUCACCUGCGCCCGGGUGCGGGAGCCACAGCGGCAUCUGGUGCGUCCUACGCGACCUGGUCCGGGGCUGCCCGGUGCUCCUCACGUGCAUCUAUUUAUUAGCCUUUCUCUUCGUAUCACUGGCCUGGCUGGCAUCAGGGAGCUGCCCAGAACCCCUGUGUGGGUCCUCCUCACAGCUUUCUGUCCCCUCCUCCACCCGGUGCCUGCCUCACCCUGGCGCUAGACCAUCUGGACCACUCAUGUGAUGAGGGUGCAUUUCCGUUCUGUUUUGGGCCAGGCCAACAGCAGAGCUGCCACUCUCACCCUCCCAGUGAGAAUUCCGGCUCUGCAGAACUCGCCCUUGUCUCAGUUUGGGGGCCAGGGCAUCACCUUCCUCCGCACAUAUGUUAAAGAAGGUUUCAGGAUGGGCCCUCAUCCACACAGGCCAAGAGGGUGCAAGGUGGGACCCUGGAAUCAUGUGGCUGGUGAGAAUUCCCUCCUCCCAGCCUAAGAUUCACCCAGACGGAAACGCGAGUGCUGCAGUGGAUGCUGGGAUGCAGGCUGGUGCCUCUCAAGCAGAUCAGCGACUCCCGCCCUUCCUUCCGAAGGCGACGGGCACCUGCCUUGUGCCGGAUCUUCAUGGGGACAUAAAGGGCGAGCCCCGAAUCACUAGCUCCUAUAGCCAAACUGUUCCUUUCUCACGGUUCCGCACCAGCCUGGCUGUGUACAGCUCAUCAAGCCACUGAGCUAAUCGGGGUGGGGUGCUUGUCCAUCAAAGCAGUCAGCACAUAGCCCAGCGAGGAGCCAUCCGGACCAGACCCGCCUGCCAGGGGCGCUCCAGCCGCCUGCCGCCUCCGUGGGCUGGGGCCAGCUGGGAGCAGAGGCCUGGCCCCUCCAAGGCGUCCCGCAGUGGAGCAGGCUGAGUGGCUGUGCUGACCUUGGGCUUUCCAUGGGAACCACACUGUGCUUCAACUUGAACAUUCAUCCCAGCUGCAAAGGAGCAAAGAACCUGUGUCAUCCUUGUCUGUCCAGAAGCUGCCAUCUCUCUCCCAUGCACAUCCGGGAGAUAACGCCGCUAGUGGCCGCCACAGCGCUGAUUCUCCACCUGUUCUCACGUGAGGCAAAGGUCUCCUUUUCUUUUCUCUUUACUUAAAAAAGGGGAGAGGAGGGUUUCUAGAUUCCAUCUUCAAACCCCAGUCGUCCCAUAAAAUUGGACGUGGGAAAAGACCUUCACUGCCUGCGUGGCCUUUCCCAGACCUCUCCUCGAAUGCCACAAAACCGGUCCAGCCCCGGCAGAGCCGCCUUCGGCCCUUGUAGCUCCUGCUGGCCCCACAACAGGGAAACAGUUUGCAAAGUGGCUUGGAAGGAGUGUGGCCUAGGGAUCUGCUGUAAGUGGCCAGACGUAGCAGGAGAGCCCAGUGUCACCUUCUGGUCCUGGUCAGCCUUAACACUGUGGCAUCCUCCACAGCACACACGGCAGCCUGCAGUCUGGAAGGUGGACCCGAGCCUUUGCAGAGAGGCGCCGCAGAGCCGCAGGCCUGCGCCCCAGCCUUCUGCUCCCGACUGUGAGGACACCCAGUUCUAGUAGAGCACUUUUUUUAAAGCUCCCAUUUUGUAACCACUAGUUUGCGGUUGACUUGAGUACUCUGGUGACUUCCUGCGUCAAGCGUUCUCAAGCUGUGAGAAUGUGCGCAGCUCCAGGCAGGUUUUCUCUCGGAGAGUUAAGUCUUCCCUUGAAGGCAGGGAAGCAGGAUGGAUACACAUAUAUCACACGCAUAAAACACCAGGUGCGGGAGCAGCCCAGACUCAAGGCUGACUAAACUGGAGGCUGAAUACCGUGGAGGUCCACAUGCAGCUUCCCUGGAGGGCAGGCCGGAGGCGCUCCCGCCCCUGGGCUUGAGGAUGCUGCACCCCGUGGGCUUCCAGGCCUGCCCAGAUGAUGCCUUCAGGCCUCUGUCCCUGGCGGCCAUCCUCAGGCCGAUUUUGACCAGCAAUGAUAGACUCUUCUUAACCCUUUCAAAAUAAAUUUUUCAGUGGGACAGAAAGGAGAGUUAAAAAACAUUUUUUUAAAGGUGGUAACAUCUGACCCACAAAGGGAAUGGGUCUGUUUUAUGCAAAAUAAAAGUUUUUCAAAU